GAAUUAUGUAAGUUUCUUAUAUUAGUUCUUGUAGUACAAUGCAGUGUGCUUUUCUUGUUCUACAAUACUGAUAGAACACACUGACAAAACUCUCUCUCACACACACACACACACACACACACGGUGAAAAUAGGGACAGAAACACAAAAGCUUGGUGUGAAAAAGUGAUUGCAUGAUUACAAGGGCGUUCAAUUACAGCUAUUCACAAUGUCUGCACGUAAUCUGUUGAACAGCAUUCUUCGCACUCUGUCCCGGACAGACAGAGAAUUUUAACUACACUCUACCUGACUGCUGCUGAUUCAUGUUUCUCUCAGUUGAAUGAAAAGCAAGCAAGUAAAAACUUAGCAUUAGGCAGUUACACUCAAAGAAUAAAAAAAAAAAUCCAUAUCUACAUAUUUAUCUAUUUAGAGGUAUUCCAUUAGAAUUGUUUAGUCAUGUUUGCUAAUAUUGGUGAGCAUAUCAGUGCUAUUUUAUGAUUGAUAAAACCAUUUUCAAUCUAUUAAUUGUAGGCCAGCAACAAGCACUAAUUCGUGGUUCCAUUUUUAUUUUUCUUCUAUAGAAAUGAAGCCAGAAUUGACCAUCAUUUUACAGAAACAUCAGACUGCAGAGAACUCUGUACACAGCCUCUCAGCUCGGCUACAUAUAAUAAACCCCAUGUAAACAGGCAGCCAAAGCUGUCAAUCACUUUAUUUCUAAGUUGACCCCAGAAUAAUGAGGGGACGGGAGUUAGAGGAGAAAAAUGAGAUAGAAAAUUGUCAGUGAAACAUAUGGGGGUGGGGGACUGUUACUAGCCAACUGAGGGCCUGACCCUGUGGUGUCUUCACCUUUAAAUGUUGUGUUGUUCUUGUUUUCUUCACUCACAAUUGUAGAUGACAUGAAUCACAACAAGAGAAGUAAAGCGCACCAGAGAUCGCUCUCUAUCCUGGCUGGAGAGAGAAGAGGCAGCCAAUCCUGUACAGCAUACUCUCAACCGGAAAUGACCACCCACCCAAGGAGGACUGCAUCAAGCACUAUGGACAUUAACACAGGACAGUGUGCCAAUCCAUAUCUGGGUUUAGAGACAUAA
rnacentral:lncRNA from 1 species